rnacentral:lncRNA from 1 species
GUAAAAAGGAAGAUCAAGAAUAUCCUUUAAAAUAUUUUCUAAAGAUUUAUUUAGCUUUUGUUUCAUGUAUAUGCAUGUUUGCCUGAAUAUAUGCAAGUGUACUACAUGUUUGUAGGGAACUGAGUGGGCCAGAAAAAGCUGACAGAUCCCUGAGAUCUGGGGUUCUAGACAUCUGUGAACAGCUCAUGUGAGUGUUAGAAGCUGAACCAAAACUUUGCAUUGGUGGCAGGUACUUAGAACCACUGACUGAAUUCUUCAGCUCCACCUCCUGUAGAAGCUACGACUCUUCUGCACUCUGUUAUUCUAUUUGCUUCUGCUGUAACUAUAUAAAUAUUUCUGCUAGUGACAGGUUAAUUUUGGGAAAAAUACUGUUUAAUUUUUUUGUUAGAGAUAAGCUCAUUAUUCCUUCUAUAUGUAUUUUUAAACUUUCCGUGAACGUGUAAAAUCAAUACUAAUGAUAUAUUCUUCCAGAAGACUAUCUCCAAACAGGUCAAGCCCUUUAAAGAAAUGAUAUUUUACCAAAAAUCUUGAUAUAUUAUGACAUGUAGGACAAACCUCAUCAUGUGUGUAAUUUACCAAAUAGGUUUAAAGGCAUUUCAGGAAAAUAUGCAAGCCAUGGUUGGCUUUAAUAAUGGAGUUAUCCAAGCACUUGAUAGUCUGUUAGGGAAAUAUCUCAUAUGAAAGCAACAAGAUCAAUAUCCACAUGAUGCUACAAACAUACGACCAACUUAGGAAGUAACCAGGCCAGUGCUUAGACUAUGCCUGAGAAUACAUGAGAAAUGCCUCAGAUUACUACUUCUAACAAGAUCAAAUAAACCAUUUUCUAAAAUGAUGUAUUUUCUUGUAGAGAUGGAUGCUUUCUACUAUUUUAUAAGAAGACAGCAGAGAACCAAUCAAGAUGGAGAAGAGACAUGGAUGGACUGCGAUCAUGACAUGCUAAUCUUUGAACAAGUAUGUCAUACAGUUGCACUAGAAAUGCUUUACAAAAUUGAUUCCAAUAAACUGAUAAUUUCUACAGGAUAUUUGCAAGUAAUUUAAGAACUAUUAGUCUUUAGUGUUUGAGAGACACUUCAAAAUCCACCUACCUAAAAUUUUCAUUCUUCUCUUUUGGAAGACAAACAGGUUUUUUCCACAUUUUGCUGAAACCACCAUCUGCAUACUCUCAACUGCAGAUUUACCAGAUUGGUAAGCAACUUCCUCAAAGCAGUAACUUCCCUCUCCCUUUCCACUGCUUAUGGAGUGGUCACAACAACAUAGACCUCA